GAGCAAGGGCGCUGAUAAAAAUGGCGUAACUUGCAUUGAAGGUUGGCGAAAACAAUUAGAAUGCAAUUCUCCGUGCCUGUCAAGUUGAUUUAUAUCGUUUUGUUAAGGCCUCGAACAAGUUGCUACAUU
rfam:Lupinus angustifolius cultivar Tanjil chromosome LG06, whole genome shotgun sequence.